rnacentral:rRNA from 1 species
CAGUAGCCGCGGUAAUACGUAGGGUGCAAGCGUUAAUCGGAAUUACUGGGCGUAAAGCGUGCGCAGGCGGUUAUAUAAGACAGAUGUGAAAUCCCCGGGCUCAACCUGGGAACUGCAUUUGUGACUGUAUAGCUAGAGUACGGCAGAGGGGGAUGGAAUUCCGCGUGUAGCAGUGAAAUGCGUAGAUAUGCGGAGGAACACCGAUGGCGAAGGCAAUCCCCUGGGCCUGUACUGACGCUCAUGCACGAAAGCGUGGGGAGCAAACAGGAUUAGAUACCCGCGUAGUCCCUGUCUCUUAUAA